AGCUCCGAGGUGUUUACAUAUCAGAUUGCAAAUCUGAAGUUGCAGGUUACCGUCUGCCGGGGCUU
rnacentral:tRNA from 3 species